CUCAGGGCUGGCUCCUACUCACCAGCAGGGUGUCCAGGGCGUCGAUCAGGGUCAGGGAGAAGCUGCGGAGGAGACAAUCGAGGAUCUCCUGGUUUGCUGACCAGCUCCUUCCUGCUAAAGCCAAUGGUUUCCAUGGUGCACAGGCACAAGAGCUCCCGGCUUGGAGUGACCUUCCUGGCCAUCCUGCUCCACCUGGAGGGACAAUGCUGCCAUCCUGCUCACCUGGUGUCUGCAGAAGGGGUUAACCCACCCUGGGAACUCCCAGCCCUGGAGUGCCCACUGAAGGCAGUGCAAAGCUCCCAUCAGGGGUGGGCUGAAGCUGUAAUCCCACAAAUGUGCUAAUAUUUGGAUCAGGAGCACUCAGUGCUUAAAUGUCUCUCACAGACGGCUGAGAGCGUGUUUUGCUAAAGCAAACUGCAAUUACAUUUAGUAUCUUCAAUUUAGCUUGACAUGUUGCCUCUAGAAAGAAGAGAUGAGGUGUGUUCUGGGCUCUGCAGCACAGGCAGUGUCUCUGACCCUCUCUUGUCUCCUCUGGACCCCCAGACCCUCUCCUGGCCAGGAGAACAGAGCAGGGAGGAGCUGCUGGAGCACAGCUCUUUCUGUCACAGCACAGAGCACCGUCCAGCACUGACCAAGGAAAUGAAACCAGAGCUUGUGUGGAGACCAGAGCAAAUCCAGGAGCAAAGGCCAGCUGGGAACAGCCACCUCAGCACAGGAAGCAGGGGAAGCAGCUCACCAGAACGCUGUGACAGCUCCAGUCUGGAGCAGCUGGAUGAGGGAGUUUUCCCCAAGCUGAGAGCCCACCUAGAAAUUAGACUUCCAUUUGCUUUCUUCAUGGAAUUCCUUCUUUGCUGUCUUCAUGGAAUAAAGGUAUAAUUAACACAUCCUCUCUGUUGUCCAAGCAAAGGUGAGGAUCUCUCCCUCUUCUCAGGGAAGAGCAGCAGACUGAAGACAAGAUCUUGAGCUAGAUCCACUUUUGCUGCUUUCAGAAAGUUGUUCUGGCUAGAAAUGUUAGAUGAGCUGAUAACUGCUGGUGAAAGUAGCAGCCAAGUUCCCUGCCCAGUGCCACACACUGAUACUCACAUUGCCUUUUUGCCCCACUUUCCCCUCUCCCUUUCUUGUUGCAGUUCUCAGCUUUUACAGUGCAGGAGGCCACGAGGUUUCUCAUCAGUCCUCUGUUUUAUUGGAAACAGCCAUGCCAGAGGGAAUUUAAGCAAUGGGAAUGCUGAUACCUGGAAAAGCUGAUGGCUGGCAGCAGGAGUUUCUGGGCUCCUUGGUGUGAAACAUGUUUUCAAGUCCAGGGCGAAUGUUGAACAUGAGGAAGAACAAAGCACUCCAGUAAAAGAGGCAAACACCUCCCCAGCAGGAGAGAGCCACUGGAGCGUGUCUGGAUGUGGAUCACACAGCCCUGCUAUUCCAGAGAGCCUUCUGAAGGGGAGAUGGCUGCAGUGAUCACUGCCCAACAUGGGCUGCCCACAAAUCAGGGAUGGAAGCGCUCACUGCUUGGUGCCCAUGGUGUCUAACUGGUUCCUAAGGCUGCACCCACUCCUCUUCUGAGGGUCUGGUGGCACAGCUACUGCCUGAAAGCAGCACAGCUCCCUGGGGCUGUCACACAUCCUGCUGCCACAGCACCCUGCCAUCUCAUUCCUACAUCAUUCCCCUCAGCGAGGCUCAAAGGCCUCCAAGGAGGGUCCAGGUGUCCCACCUGGUGACAAAACCACCUUGAUGGCCUGUGUGACUGGUGGGGAAGGAAGUGUGGGAGGUGGGAGGGCGAGGCAGGAGCGGCACUGUCCUUGGCCUGUUGUCACUCUGUCACACUCGGUGUCAAAAUAAACACCAACAAGCUCCAGGCAGUGGCUGGGGUACGCCCAGAGGAAUUCACCAAAGUCAGCAUCUAAAUAAGGAAACACAUGGACUCGGGAAGCUUGUCUGUGGUGGAUGUGUGUGGAAGCAACGUCAGCACAAGAGGGUCCCUUCCCCCUCCCUUCCCUGUUUGCUUUUGCCUCGCUCCUGAGCAAAUGAAGACAACAGCUGUGUUAUUUAACAGUGUGUGUUUUACUACCAACGAAGAAUGGGCCUUUAAAAUAGGCAAAAUGCUCUGUGCCCUUCCAGGGAAAUGUGGAAUUGCAGGUUUGGCCAGGAUGACCCAAACAAUAAAAGUGCAGCUGGAGCAUUAAAAGCAGAGUUGGUGGCAAGGAUGGUUGGGUUUGGCUGGACUAACUGGAAUGGUGAUCAAAAGGACGAUUAUGCUGCUAUAGGAGCAGAGCCAUUUGCCACAUAUUCCUAUAAAGGCAAACCUUAAGGAUUGCUGGAUAUUCAAUGACAGGAUCCAACAUAAAAAAUAAAAUAAAAUAAAAAUCUCUCUAUUGCUA